rnacentral:rRNA from 1 species
AUGAAGGCAACAAAAAGAAGCCGAACGUUCUCAACGGUAGUGGAAGGACAUGGCCACCGUGUCCUGUACACAACAGAUGGUAGGCGGUUCGAGGUGCCAUUAGCAUACCACGGCACGAUGAUCUUCAGAGCGCUCCCCUAA